UUUCAGAGUGGGACUAAGCCCUGCGAAUUUAACGUAGUAAUACGUGGCAUACGGCUCAGUAACACGUAGUCAACAUGCCCAGAGGACGUGGAUAACCUCGGGAAACUGAGGAUAAACCGCGAUAAGUCAUGAUUCCUGGAAUGGUUCAUGGCUGAAAUCUAUAUGGCCUUUGGAUUGGACUGCGGCCGAUCAGGCUGUUGGUGAGGUAAUGGCCCACCAAACCUGUUACCGGUACGGGCUCUGAGAGGAGGAGCCCGGAGAUGGGCACUGAGACAAGGGCCCAGGCCCUAUGGGGCGCAGCAGGCGCGAAACCUCUGCAAUAGGCGAAAGCUUGACAGGGUUACUCUGAGUGAUUUCCGUUAAGGAGAUCUUUUGACACCUCUAAAAAUGGUGUAGAAUAAGGGGCGGGCAAGUCUGGUGUCAGCCGCCGCGGUAAUACCAGCACCCCGAGUGGUCGGGACGAUUAUUGGGCCUAAAGCAUCCGUAGCCGGUCCUACAAGUCUUCCGUUAAUCCACCUGCUCAACAGAUGGGCUGCGGAAGAUACUAUAGGGCUAGGAGGCGGGAGAGGCAAGCGGUACUCAGUGGGUAGGGGUAAAUCCUCUGAUCCAUUGAGACCACCAGUGCGAAGG
rnacentral:rRNA from 1 species